ACCUGGCUGGCUCAGUUGGCAGAGUAUGGAACUCUUAAUUUCCAGGCUAUGAGUUUGAGCCUCACAUUAGGUA
rnacentral:tRNA from 1 species